rnacentral:tRNA from 1 species
GGAGGGGUGCCCGAGCGGCUAAAGGGGACAGACUGUAAAUCUGUUGCGCGCGGCGCUUCGGAGGUUCAAAUCCUCCCCCCUCCACCA